GUGGGGAAUAUUGGACAAUGGGCGAAAGCCUGAUCCAGCCAUGCCGCGUGUGUGAAGAAGGUCUUCGGAUUGUAAAGCACUUUAAGUUGGGAGGAAGGGCAGUAAGUUAAUACCUUGCUGUUUUGACGUUACCGACAGAAUAAGCACCGGCUAACUUCGUGCCAGCAGCCGCGGUAAUACGAAGGGUGCAAGCGUUAAUCGGAAUUACUGGUCGUAAAGCGCGCGUAGGUGGUUUUGUAAGUUGGAGGUGAAAUCCCCGGGCUCAACCUGGGAACUGCCUCCAAAACUGCAUGACUAGAGUACGGUAGAGGGUAGUGGAAUUUCCUGUGUAGCGGUGAAAUGCGUAGAUAUAGGAAGGAACACCAGUGGCGAAGGCGACUACCUGGACUGAUACUGACACUGAGGUGCGAAAGCGUGGGGAGCAAACAGGAUUAGAUACCCUAGUAGUCC
rnacentral:rRNA from 1 species